rnacentral:rRNA from 1 species
CAGCCGCCACGGUAAUACGAAGGGGGCUAGCGUUGUUCGGAUUUACUGGGCGUAAAGCGCACGUAGGCGGAUCGAUCAGUCAGGGGUGAAAUCCCAGAGCUCAACUCUGGAACUGCCUUUGAUACUGUCGAUCUGGAGUAUGGAAGAGGUGAGUGGAAUUCCGAGUGUAGAGGUGAAAUUCGUAGAUAUUCGGAGGAACACCAGUGGCGAAGGCGGCUCACUGGUCCAUUACUGACGCUGAGGUGCGAAAGCGUGGGGAGCAAACAGGAUUAGAUACCCCCGUAGUCCCUGUCUCUUAUAU